rnacentral:rRNA from 1 species
GAUGAACGCUGGCGGCGUGCCUAAUACAUGCAAGUCGAGCGAACAGACGAGGAGCUUGCUCCCCUGACGUUAGCGGCGGACGGGUGAGUAACACGUGGAUAACCUACCUAUAAGACUGGGAUAACUCCGGGAAACCGGAGCUAAUACCGGAUAAUAUAUUGAACCGCAUGGUUCAAUAGUGAAAGACGGUUUUGCUGUCAUUUAUAGAUGGAUCCGCGCCGCAUUAGCUAGUUGGUAAGGUAACGGCUUACCAAGGCAACGAUGCGUAGCCGACCUGAGAGGGUGAUCGGCCACACUGGAACUGAGACACGGUCCAGACUCCUACGGGAGGCAGCAGUAGGGAAUCUUCCGCAAUGGGCGAAAGCCUGACGGAGCAACGCCGCGUGAGUGAUGAAGGUCUUCGGAUCGUAAAACUCUGUUAUUAGGGAAGAACAAAUGUGUAAGUAACUAUGCACGUCUUGACGGUACCUAAUCAGAAAGCCACGGCUAACUACGUG